rfam:Culex pipiens quinquefasciatus supercont3.441 genomic scaffold, whole genome shotgun sequence.
GCCCGUGUAGAUCAAUCGGACCGCUUACUGGACUCACAAUCCAGAGGUUGCUGGUUCGAACCCCGCGGCGGGCG